rnacentral:rRNA from 1 species
GAUGAACGCUGGCGGCGUGCCUAAUACAUGCCAGUCGAGCGAACAGACGAGGAGCUUGCUCCUCUGACGUUAGCGGCGGACGGGUGAGUAACACGUGGAUAACCUACCUAUAAGACUGGGAUAACUUCGGGAAACCGGAGCUAAUACCGGAUAAUAUAUUGAACCGCAUGGUUCAAUAGUGAAAGACGGUUUUGCUGUAACUUAUAGAUGGAUCCGCGCCGCAUUAGCUAGUUGGUAAGGUAACGGCUUACCAAGGCAACGAUGCGUAGCCGACCGGAGAGGGUGAUCGGCCACACGGGAACUGGAACACGGUCAAGACUCCUACGGGAGGCAGCAGAAGGGAACCUUCGGCAUUGGGCGAAAGCCUGACGGAGCAACGCCGCGGGAGUGAUGAAGGUCUUCGGAUCGUAAAACUCUGUUAUUAGGGAAGAACAGAUGUGGAAUUAACUAUGCACGUCUUGACGGUACCUAAUCAGAAAGCCACGGCUAACUACGUG